rnacentral:sRNA from 1 species
ACUUCAAGCGCCAUGGCCGCUGCCUCUCGGGCCCGGGUCGCGUACUUGCUGAGGCAACUGCAACGCGCAGCGUGCCAGUGCCCAACUCAUUCUCAUACUUACUCCCAAGCCCCUGGACUUUCACCUUCUGGGAAAACAACAGAUUAUGCCUUUGAGAUGGCUGUUUCAAAUAUUAGAUAUGGAGCAGGAGUUACAAAGGAAGUGGGAAUGGCAAGUAUUCGAGAUGUCUACAGUCUCCUACUGUGAAUGUUACAUAUCUCAUAAAACACAUGCUAAAUGACAACAAUCACAUCCUCUAUUUUUAAAAAUGUACAAUGUGAGUUUGCCAGAAGAGUCUGUUGCAGUUCUAGUGCAGUUGAACCUAACUUAUAGGUUUUCUUGUAGGACCUACAAAACAUGGGUGCUAAAAAUGUGUGCUUGAUGACAGACAAGAACCUCUCCAAGCUCCCUCCUGUGCAAGUAGCUAUGGAUUCCCUAGUGAAGAAUGGCAUCCCCUUUACGGUUUAUGAUAAUGUGAGGGUGGAACCAACGGAUGCAAGCUUCAUGGAAGCUAUUGAGUUUGCCCAAAAGG